UACGGGGGGAGCAAGCGUUGUUCGGAUUUACUGGGCGUAAAGGGCGCGUAGGCGGCGCAACAAGUCACUUGUGAAAUCUCCGGGCUUAACCCGGAGCGGCCAAGUGAUACUGUCGUGCUAGAGUGCGGAAGGGGCUACUGGAAUUCUCGGUGUAGCGGUGAAAUGCGUAGAUAUCGAGAGGAACACCUGCGGCGAAGGCGGGUAGCUGGGCCGACACUGACGCUGAGGCGCGAAAGCCAGGGGAGCGAACCGG
rnacentral:rRNA from 1 species